AGAGAAUAGCUUCCUGGCAAAAGACGCUUGGUGCAACCCAUAGUCAAACUGUGCGAUAUUCCUGGACCAUCGCUCGAAUAUGUUCAUGGCACAUCAAAUAUCGCCACAGUUCCGGGCUCCAUAGACACUCUUUCCAGGGAGAGCAGCUCGAAUGGCACCUGAAUUGUGUACCCAAUUGUAAAAAAAUUAAAGAUGAUAUUCUGGACAGCCCUUUUACAGCUGUCACCAGUACAAAUUCUGCAAGAGCCACACAGUUCCAUCU